rnacentral:rRNA from 1 species
UACGAAGGGUGCAAGCGUUACUCGGAAUUAUUGGGCGUAAAGAGCUCGUAGGCGGUUUGUCGCGUCUGCUGUGAAAACUCGGGGCUCAACUCCGAGCUUGCAGUGGGUACGGGCAGACUAGAGUGCGGUAGGGGAGACUGGAAUUCCUGGUGUAGCGGUGGAAUGCGCAGAUAUCAGGAGGAACACCGGUGGCGAAGGCGGGUCUCUGGGCCGUAACUGACGCUGAGGAGCGAAAGCAUGGGGAGCGAACAGG